CAAACCAAAGCUGGCGACCGGCGCACGGGUGAGUAACACGUAUCCAACCUGCCUCAUACUCGGGGAUAGCCUUUCGAAAGAAAGAUUAAUAUCCGAUAGCAUAUAUUUCCCGCAUGGGUUUUAUAUUAAAGAAAUUCGGUAUGAGAUGGGGAUGCGUUCCAUUAGUUUGUUGGGGGGUAACGGCCCACCAAGACUACGAUGGAUAGGGGUUCUGAGAGGAAGGUCCCCCACAUUGGAACUGGGACACGGUCCAA
rnacentral:rRNA from 1 species